rnacentral:lncRNA from 1 species
AGCAGCAGAGACGAGAUGAACCUGUGGCUGCGGUUGCUUGGUUGACUCUGCAGAUGAUGAUGCAGUGCCUCCUUUAUGAAAGAUUUCUGAGGACUUCCCCACUUCUUCCUACUUGCGGGGAAGAUAAUAAGGAGAAAAGAUCAAGGAACCAGAAAGCUUCUAGAGGCAUGAGAUGUCGGAUUCCAAUAAAGCACUCAGAAGGAGCUGAUCUUACCGUUUUGGUUUGGGUAGUAGAGCGAGACAUCUCAGUGCUUUCAGUUUCUACCCCUUUCCGCAUCCCACUAAACCACUUUUUAUAUUCCAUUCGAACCUGGAAAUUUGAGUGGAGAGGUCCGUGUUACAUCCAGAGCUUGGUUUGGGAGAAAGGAUCCUAAAAUGGGAGGCUAAAGAUAAAGACACCAAGCCCUACUCUCUAGUUUUCCAUAUAAUCUUGGCCAUGCCCAUGUUGAUUCAUUUUAUUUAAACUCAAACUUCUCAGUUGUAAAAAAGAUGUGUAUUAAAUAUCAGACACUAUAGGACUCAA